ensembl:lncRNA
CCCAGUUUGCAUAUUUUAUUACGUAAAUACAUGUAUUGUUAACCAAACUUACUUGUCAAGAGUCUAUCUCAAAUAGUCCCACAAGGUGUUCCAAUAUGUGUACAUAUACAAAACAGUGAAUCAUCAUUUGGCUUAUUUCAGUACAGACAUGGCAUCUACAAUAUCUUCUGAAUAUUGGGGAGGCAUGUUGCUCAGGGUUAUGAGACUAUCACAGCUAUAGCUCUCCCACUGAACACUGAGGUUUGGGUCAGCCAUGUCUGGGCUCUUUAAACACCAGUAACAGAUUACAGGAUCACAAAUGUCCAAAACAAUAACAGUUUAAUCAUAUUUCAGAAGCAGUCAGCAAUAUUUACAAUCCACACAUUUGCAGUAAGUGCUAUAAUACUAUUAUAAACCUUUAUCUGUACAGGAAGAUGUUAGGAAUGUAUCAGACAGCGCUACUGUUGUCUUCUGGUAAAUGACCUGCAUGGGCCCCAUCUGCCCCUGAUGUAGAGACACCACUGGUCUUCUUUCUUUCAACUGAACAAGUUCCAGACAUUCCAGGCUUGUUCCAAUACACAAGGGUCCAAUCUGUAAGUGAACAAAACACAAACAACAUUUCAACAUCUGUUGGUUUACGAUCAUCUGCUCUUUAAUAACAUGUGUGUGUGUGAGAGAGAGACCAUCAAUUUAAAUUGGGAGUGAGAGUAUGAUUUUCUCCCAAACAUUAUUUCUAAUGGACAACUAUUAACAUUCUCAAACAGUCCAUAUUCCAGGGCAGAGAUAAUUUCUAUAUUUGCUCUACAGGAUAUCUAAUUAGGUGUGAUGUGUGGGUAGUGAUGAUUUGAGACGAUUGGAAGUGGAUAUGUCUGCUUGUACAAUUUUGGCAAACCAGCCAAUUCACAAAAUCAUUAAUACAUAUAUAAAAAUGGUUAUUAUCAAAAUGAUAAAUAUUCUCUCAACACUGAAGCCCAUAAAAACAAAUGCCCGUCGUGACUGAGGUGAGUGGAGAAUGUACUGUGAUAAUCUCAUGACUGAGGUGAGUGGAGAAUGUACUGUGAUAAUCUCCAGCAUCAAAGGCAGGAUGGAGCUGCUCUAGUUCACCUUAAGGAAUACGUUUCUCACACUAAACUUGACCUGACAGACCACUAGAAAAUUAUAUUUUUUCUAUGUUCUCGUAUUUUAAUAUUGUCAAAUCUGUCUUUUUUAUACCAAAUUACUUUAUGUUCAAGAACUGCCCUCACAAAUACAAAUAUACGUUCCUGUCCAGAUAAGAGUAAUUCCUCAGCCAUUAAACAGGAAUUGGCAAAAAUCAGUAUACUGCCCCUGGUG